GACGAGGCACUACGGUGCUGAAGCAACAAAUGCCCUGCUUCCAGGAAAAGCCUCUAAGCAUCAGGUAACACGAAAUCGUACCCCAAACCGACACAGGUGGUCAGGUAGAGAAUACCAAGGCGCUUGAGAGAACUCGGGUGAAGGAACUAGGCAAAAUGGUGCCGUAACUUCGGGAGAAGGCACGCUGACACGUAGGUGAAGUGAUUUACUCAUGGAGCUGAAGUCAGUCGAAGAUACCAGCUGGCUGCAACUGUUUAUUAAAAACACAGCACUGUGCAAACACGAAAGUGGACGUAUACGGUGUGACGCCUGCCCGGUGCCGGAAGGUUAAUUGAUGGGGUCAGCGUAAGCGAAGCUCCUGAUCGAAGCCCCGGUAAACGGCGGCCGUAACUAUAACGGUCCUAAGGUAGCGAAAUUCCUUGUCGGGUAAGUUCCGACCUGCACGAAUGGCGUAAUGAUGGCCAGGCUGUCUCCACCCGAGACUCAGUGAAAUUGAACUCGCUGUGAAGAUGCAGUGUACCCGCGGCAAGACGGAAAGACCCCGUGAACCUUUACUAUAGCUUGACACUGAACAUUGAGCCUUGAUGUGUAGGAUAGGUGGGAGGCUUUGAAGUGUGGACGCCAGUCUGCAUGGAGCCGACCUUGAAAUACCACCCUUUAAUGUUUGAUGUUCUAACGUGGACCCGUAAUCCGGGUUGCGGACAGUGUCUGGUGGGUAGUUUGACUGGGGCGGUCUCCUCCUAAAGAGUAACGGAGGAGCACGAAGGUUGGCUAAUCCUGGUCGGACAUCAGGAGGUUAGUGCAAUGGCAUAAGCCAGCUUGACUGCGAGCGUGACGGCGCGAGCAGGUGCGAAAGCAGGUCAUAGUGAUCCGGUGGUUCUGAAUGGAAGGGCCAUCGCUCAACGGAUAAAAGGUACUCCGGGGAUAACAGGCUGAUACCGCCCAAGAGUUCAUAUCGACGGCGGUGUUUGGCACCUCGAUGUCGGCUCAUCACAUCCUGGGGCUGAAGUAGGUCCCAAGGGUAUGGCUGUUCGCCAUUUAAAGUGGUACGCGAGCUGGGUUUAGAACGUCGUGAGACAGUUCGGUCCCUAUCUGCCGUGGGCGCUGGAGAACUGAGGGGGGCUGCUCCUAGUACGAGAGGACCGGAGUGGACGCAUCACUGGUGUUCGGGUUGUCAUGCCAAUGGCACUGCCCGGUAGCUAAAUGCGGAAGAGAUAAGUGCUGAAAGCAUCUAAGCACGAAACUUGCCCCGA
rnacentral:rRNA from 5 species